CCUGUAUUUUCAUAGAAGAUUGCUGUUCAUCAGAAAAUGAUGGAUAAUGAAAACAGCCAACAUUUAACAGUAAUAUAAAUUAUAAGCAGGACAAUAAAAAAGAGAAACAGAGAUAUGAUUUCAUAUUGUCUCUUAUCCCGAUUUUUGUGAUAAAUUGCUGAAUCUCUAGAAUGUGAUUAGCAUGUUGGAAAAUAACGCACUCAGCUGUGUUGAUGUUACUCUAUUCAUGCGGAUAAGUUACCUGGCCACUUCCAGCCCUUGAUACUUACUCGUAAGGCAGAAACAGAAGAAAACAUAGGCGAUUGUUAAUGGAGUAGGCAGAGAAGGGGGUGUGGGGAGAACAAGAUGGAAGAAGUUAAGUUGGACUGUAAAUCCAAACACUUGAGGGUGUUGAUAGCUUGCCUUCGAACAGCCCAACCUCGAAUUAGAGCUUGAAGCUUGACGACUCCUUUCAGUGCUCGUAGUGCUUUCCUUGCCUGGAACCCCCAGAGGGAGAAGAACAUGUUAUACUCUGAAUUAAACUGUUACAUAGAAAUUAACAACUCCAAUCUUUUCAUCUAUUCAUUUUACUUGGCUGUUUCAGUUUGGUAUGAUACUUCAUAAAAUGCUAAUAACAUCGAUGUUUUUUUUAACUCCUAUUAUUAGUUCUGAUAAAUGUGCCACGUUCACAGCACCUGCUGAGUUGAAUUGCCAUCCAAAUAGAGCAUCUUAAAUAAACUCACUAAAUAACCGCGAAAUGCAGCUUGAACUUUGAUUGCAGCUGAAGCUUCUGAUGCGAUGUUGUGCUGAUGAGGAAUUUUCACAACACUGGCGCUAUUGUGGCUUUUUGAAGAUUCUGGAUAGGCUGUUUCCCCAUUGCUGGGGAUCUGCCGAAGCUCAGAAGUGUCUGUUGCAACGGUUACUGGAACAGAAGUAGUACUCGGUUCUGGGAGUUGCCAUGGCAGCCUUUCUCUCGGAGAGGAUGGCCCUAGUUCUUUCAUCUUAAGCAAUCGGCAGGCCCAUCUCCUGCGCUUAUCCUUGUUGCAGCACACAUGAGAUCAAAGCAGUUCAGUUUUAUCAGGUGGUCGGGUUUGAUGUUCGUGCAAGAUAAAACGAGGUUCUUGAGAUUCGAGUCUUCACAGAUGUUGAAGAGGAAGCCAUAUCAAGUGGCCUUCUUCCCCCAAUAGUGGAGAGACCAUCAAAUGAAGGGGAAAUCCAAGUGCAAAAAUACAUUAUUGGUGGAGGUGGGGAAAUCCCUAAUGUGCAAAAGAAAGCAUGUCUUUGAAGGAGAUAGACAGCUGUUGAGGGCCCUAUUUCUGCUCUAUAGUAUUCAUAUGCAAUAAUUUAUACUACUACUAUAAGUUAAUUGCAUGAAGUUGAGAUUUUUAAUAAUUAUUAAACUGGAUCACAUUUCUUUGC